rnacentral:rRNA from 1 species
UGGGGAAUAUUGCACAAUGGGGGAAACCCGUGAUGCAGCGACGCCGCGUGGGCGACGAAGCGCUCCGGCGCGUAAAGCCCUGUCAGCAGGGAAGAAAAAAGACAGUACCUGACCAAGAAGCCCCGGCUAACUACGUGCC